rnacentral:pre_miRNA from 1 species
CUACUACUCCCUCCGUUCCGAAUUACUUGUCGCAGGUAUGGAUGUAUCUAGAUGUAUUUUCGUUCUAGAUACAUCCAUUUCUGCGACAAGUAAUUUGGAAAGGAGGGAGUAUUAG